rnacentral:lncRNA from 1 species
GUUCAUGGAGAUGAAGUUGGUGAAGUUCAUGUAAAUCAUCAUAAUGUUGUUGGUGCAGUGCAACUUGAAAAGAAGAUAAAAUAUGAUCAUGAUAUUGAUGAAGCUGAUCCACUACAAAUUACUGAGGAACAAAACUCUAAUAUUAAUUUUGAAAGAUAUUGGGAUGUUGCCUGCAAUGUCUAAUUACAGUAUUUGGAAAAUGCUUAUACAAAAAGGAUGAAAACUGUGCCAAAUAUUUACUGGGAAUUCAAAGAAGUUGUACGUCCAGGGUAAAUAUUAAAACUGAAAGGAGGAACCAAAAGCCUUUCAAGAAAAUUGUUUUUUUGAAUUUUUCAAAAUGGGGAAAAAAACUUGAGAACCUAAAUAAUAUACUCUCCAUCGAAAGAAGCCAAGUUUUUUUUUGGUGUAAGCUAUUUUCAAAUGAAAACUCCAAGUUUUGCACUGUUGAUGGUUUCAAAUCUUGGUGGAAAUUGAACUCUAAGAACAUAAAUCUAGUCUUGCAGAUGAAAAUGCGUUCGCUCAGUGGAAAGAGCUAGACAUUUGCCUUUUCAAAGGUAAGUCGAUGGAUAAAAAACACCAAAUCCUUGUUCAAAAUGCAACAGAGAAAUGGAAGCAAAUUUUUACUAGAUUAUUGGACAUAAUUAUGUUUCUUGCUCAGCAAAAUCUAGUUUUACAAGGCAAAACAAAAUGUAUACGAGCAAGGGAGGAAAAUGAAAAUAAGAGAAAUUUUCUAGAGUUUGUUCAACUCAUGUGAAAGUACUACCCAGUGCUGCGUAAACAUUAGGUUAAAGUAAGAAUUUCUAUAUAUGCAACUUCCAUCUCUCACCACUAAUUCAAAAUGAAUUUAUGAACCUCCUCGGGUAUCAAGUGAGAAACAAAUUUAUCAAUGAAGUGAAAAAGAGUAAAUACUACUACAUUUUUUCGAUAGUACGCCAGACAUUUCUCAUAUAUAGAUUGAGUCAGGUGUUAUGUUAUGUUAAGAUAACUGACAAUGAAGUAAAAGUAAGAGAAUCCUUUCUUUGUUUUAUUGAGAUGAAAGGAAAAAAUGCUGAGCAAAUAAUAUGUAUGAUUCUUAAACAAUUAGAAAUGGACGGCAUUAACAUACAGGACUGUCGUGGAAUUUGAUAACGCAGCAGUAAUGGAAGGUCAUCGAUCUAGUGUUCAAACAUGCAUCACAGAAGUUAAUCCAAAUAUUGUAUUUGUACCAGGUAACAAUCAUUCUCUGAAUUUAGCGGCUGUGCAUGCAGCCUUAGUGGUUGCAAAUUCAUUUACUUUUUUUUUUGCACAUUGGACCUUUUAUUUUCAUUCUUCUCAGCCUCAACUCAUCGGUGGUAUAUCUUGAUUGAUAUAACUGGCAAGUGAAAGUUAUUCACACAAAAUUCACGCAAGUCAUCAAUGCGCUUAAACGUUUGAUGGAAGACGUAGAAAACGGAACUACAAGCUUUGAUACAGGUUUAGUUCUUCAAUAAUUUUUUCCUUGACAUUGCUUCGUCUUGGAGAGAUAUACUUCGUGAAAUUAAUGACACUCAAACGUUCCUUCAAACGAAAGGACUGGACCUACAACAAUGUGCCUUUAAAUUAUCAGCCUUGAAUGCUUCUCUACUUCAAAAUCGAGACAAAUUAUUGGAAGAUGCGUUGGUGUAUUCAACAAAAAUUUGAUCUGAUAUGAAAAUCAGCACAGAGUGUCGAAUUCGCAAAAAGAAACGAAUGGGGUGCGAAGAAAGUGUCAAUGCCACUCAAAAUCAUGCUGUUCAACUAAGAAGAGAAAUGUUGUCUGUGAUAGAUCGACUAGUUGGAGAAAUAUCCUCUAUAUUCGAAAGACUCCAGAAUAUUACAAAGAAAUACAUCUUUAUCACACUGUCCAAAUGGUUAGAUAAACAGUAUAAUUCUGCGAGCGGUCGUUUUCUAAACUAAAACUCAUUAAGAAUUACAUCAGGUCAACAAUGAGUCAAACAAGGUUGACUGAUUUGGCAAUACUUUCUAUAGACCUUGAGGAAAAAAUUGAUUUUGAUGACGUCAUUCACGAUUUUGCAAAUCGCAAGGCACAUACAAUCAAUUUAUAAACUCCAAACUCCUCUAUUGAUGAAUAUUUAUCCUGUAUCCAGGAUUGUAGGGUCAAGAUUGAUUUACUCAGAUACUUUUUGAGCUGUUAUAACACUUCUUCUUUCUCUCUUUCUGUCCUAUCCUAUCCUUUUCUUUCUCUUUUUUCCUUCCCAUAAUGACCAUUUAAUAAUUGAAUGAAUGGAUAAAAUCAAUUAAAAAAGAGCUCUUAAAAUAAUGCAAUGAUAUUACAAUAACAUAGAAUGGAUUGGAAUAGACUAUUCUUUCAAAUUGAAGAACAAAUUUUCAUCUAUCAUAUGAGUAAAGAAGGGAUUUAUUUAAAGAUAAAAAAAUACUGUGUGUCUCACUCCCAAUCUCGUGUCUGACAAAAGCUCAAUUUCUACUUAUGAAAUAUUUACAAUUUCUGAAUUUAUUAUUCUUUGACCUAUCAGCUUAUGAAUUUUAAA